GGGGGCGACCUGGCUUCGACGCGGGUUACAAAACCGGAGGUGCAUGCCGAGGAUGCAGAUAUCCUCGUAAAUCCAUCUGCAAAACCAUAGUUGCCAACGACAGCAACUUCGCACUCGCUGCUUAAAAACCAGUAGAGUGUCGUCGGACUGGAGCCGUGCCUGUGCGUUCAGAUUCCCGGCGUCAUCU
rnacentral:tmRNA from 1 species